AGCAAAAUAGUAGUAGAGAUAGCUGACAAUGAUCGAAGAAGAAAAAUUAAGAUAAUUCAUAUUCUACGAUGAGUAUCCUAUACUCUAAUUUGACUAAUGAUCUCUGUUUUUUGAAUGAAAAUAGGUUUAAGGCCUAGCAUGCCCAGUCUCAGGCCAGUGAGGCUCAGUCAACUCUAUUUUACCCCCUUACAGAUUUUGUGGGUAAACGCAUUGUGGUUUUUUUACGAGGGGAGGAAUAAGUGUUUCAAAUAUGUCCAGUGUGGUCAUAUUCAGAGG
rnacentral:lncRNA from 1 species